CAACUCUUACAGCAGGGCCAAAAUGGAGAGGGCACUGCAGCAGAAACACCCCAAACAGCAGAUGCUAGAGAAGAACUAGUGGCAUCAGAAACGUCUGGAGAUGACGCCAAACUUCCAGAGUACUGUCUUCUGGCAAGCAGUGGCACUUGCUCCCGAAAGAGCUUAGGAAGUACAGAAAUCACAGCCACAUCCAUCCAAGGCUGUGGCACAGUUGAUAACAAUGACUCUCAAGAUGUUUGGACAGAAGCCAGUUGCCCCGAAUAAUUAGGAUUUUCGAUGGCUGGCUGAAAAUUUUCAACUUUUGUGUCAAAGCUGCUCUUCUUUUUUCUAUGCUGUUGUUGCAUGGACAAGCUAUUUCAUACUUGUUUGUUCACCUGUUUUAGAAUUUUGAAAUAAAGCUUUUUCCAUAUUUGUAUAUUUUACAAUUUGCCUGAUUCUUUUCAAGCAGAAUUUC
rnacentral:lncRNA from 1 species